rnacentral:rRNA from 1 species
CUGAGCCAGGAUCUUAAGCCCCGCGGGGACGAACCAUCCGGCCCGUACCGCGAUCCGACACAGGUGUGCUAGGCGAGUAUCCGAAGGCGUUCGGGCGAACCCUCGUGAAGGAACUCGGCAAAAUGACCCCGUACCUUCGGUACAAGGGGUGCUCUCCCAAGGAGAGCCGCAGAGAAUCGGCUCUAGCGACUGUUUAUCAAAAACACAGGACUCUGCCAACUCGCAAGAGGACGUAUAGAGUCUGACGCCUGCUCGGUGUCGGUAGGUUAAGGGAGCCGAUGAGGCGAGAGCCAAAGUUGGCGACCGAAGCCCCGAUAAACGGCGGCCGUAACUAUGACGGUCCUAAGGUAGCGAAGUUCCUUGUCGGGUAAGUUCCGACCUGCAUGAAUGGCGUAACGACUGGAGCACUGUCUCCACGAGGGACCCGGUGAAACUGUAGCCGUGGUGAAGAUGCCACGUACCCGCGGUCAGACGGAAAGACCCCGUGAACCUUUACUGCAGGUUGGCAUUGGGUCAGCGUCCUUUCUGUGUAGCAUAGGUGGGAGGCCGUGAUCCGGCGGCGCCAGCCGUCGGGGAUCCAUCGGUGAAAUACCACCCUGAAAUGACUCUGAUCCUCACCGGUCCGUAGCCCGGACCGGGACCAUGCUCAUCGGGCAGUUUGACUGGGGCGGUCUCCUCCCAAAGCGUAACGGAGGAGUGCAAUGGUACCCUCGGCCAGGUCGGCAAUCUGGCAACAUGAGCGCAAACGUAGAAGGGUGCCUGACUGCGAGACCCAUCAGUCGAGCAGGGACGAAAGUCGGCGUUAGUGAUCCGGCGGUGCUGGAUGGAAAGGCCGUCGCUCAACAGAUAAAAGGUACUCCGGGGAUAACAGGCUGAUCUCCCCCGAGCGUCCAUAGCGGCGGGGAGGUUUGGCACCUCGAUGUCGGCUCAUCGCAUCCUGGGGCUGGAGAAGGUCCCAAGGGUUUGGCUGUUCGCCAAUGAAAGCGGUACGCGAGCUGGGUUCAGACCGUCGUGAGACAGGUCGGUCCCUAUCUGCCGUGGGCGGAGGAAACUUGCGAAGGGUCUCCCCUAGUACGAGAGGAUUGGGGAGGACCGACCUCUGGUGUACCGGCUGUCCCGCUCGGGGCACCGCCGGGUAGCCAGGUCGGGAAAGGAUAAGCGCUGAAGGCAUCUAAGCGCGAAGCCCUCUUCAAGACGAGGUUUCCAGCACGCAAGUGCGAAGGCUCCUGGAAGACGACCAGGUCGAUAGGCCGGGAGUGCACGGCGAGCGAUCGCCGCAGCCGACCGGUCCUAACAGCCGAUCGCUUGACCAC